UAUACUUUAAUGUAAAUGUAAUUGACUAAAUCAUGCUUUACAACAAGUAAUUAUUAUAUAUUUCUGUAUAACGUUAUAAACUGUACAGUGUAAUAUUAAUUCUUAUUAAUUCAGUAAUUUGAUUAAUCUAUAUCUAAAUAUGUGAUAAACAUAAUUUAGUAUGAAUGCAGUGUGUAUGUUUGUGGUGAUGAACACUUUAGAGAUUGUUGUAUUUUAUUAUAUAUUUUAUGAAACAUAACGUGUCUGUGUAGUUAUUUAUUAUUGUAAUUCUUUUAUGCAGAUACGUCAAUCCUUUUAAGUGUGACCAGUUCCAUUUGCCCUGGUGUCACAUACUUGGGUGAUAUAAGAAUGGAAACUUGUCAGCCAUUAAAGAGCCUUUAACCCAAAACAAUGCAGUUGUCAUUUGUUCCAAAACGAUGAUGCUACUACAUUUGGAGCCGACGUAGGGACUAACAACGGGCUGACAGAUGGUUUGGAUGGAGUGUUGACAGUACAGGAUUGACCUUCACCCCUCUACAGAAUGACGUCCUAACAUGAGUAUCCUUGACAUUUGUGAUCUUGACUUUUCGUGAACAUUUUAAAGGAAUUCCACUCGGACAUUAUUGUGUGCUGCAGUGUUGACUUUUCUAUGGACUUGUGUCAUUUAUACGUCAAUCCUUUUAAGUGUGACCAGUUCCAUUUGCCCUGGUGUCACAUACUUGGGUGAUAUAAGAAUGGAAACUUGUCAGCCAUUAAAGAGCCUUUAACCCAAAA